rnacentral:rRNA from 1 species
CUACGGGGGGCUCCAGUGGGGAAUAUUGGACAAUGGGGGAAACCCUGAUCCAGCAAUGCCGCGUGUGUGAAGAAGGCCUGCGGGUUGUAAAGCACUUUCGGUUGGGAGGACUGCUUCUAGCACUAAUAUUGUUGGAAGUUGACGUUACCUUCAGAAGAAGCACCGGCUAACUCCGUGCCAGCAGCCGCGGUAAUACGGAGGGUGCAGGCGGUAAUCGGAAUUACUGGGCGUAAAGCGCGCGUAGGCGGCUAGAUCAGUCGGGUGUGAAAGCCCCGGGCUUAACCUGGGAACUGCAUCCGAUACUGUCUAGCUUGAGUACAGGAGAGGAGAGUGGAAUUCCACAUGUAGCGGUGAAAUGCGUAGAUAUGUGGAGGAACACCAAUGGCGAAGGCAGCUCUCUGGCCUGAUACUGACGCUGAGGUGCGAAAGCGUGGGGAGCAAACAGGAUUAGAUACCCGUGUAGUC